CCCUUAGAUGUUCGGGGCCGCACGCGCGCUGCACUGAAGGAAUCAGCACGUCUUUCUCCUUGUCCGAAAGGACUGGGUAACCCGCUGAACCUCCUUCGUGCUAGGGAUUGGGGCUUGUAAUUCUUCCCCAUGAACGAGGAAUUCCCAGUAAGCGCGAGUCAUAAGCUCGCGUUGAUUACGUCCCUGCCCUUUGUACACACCGCCCGUCGCUACUACCGAUUGGAUGGUUUAGUGAGAUCCUCGGAUUGGUCCCGGAGCGGCCUCUGGUCGUGCCGGAGUGCCGAAAAGAAUGUCGAACUUGAUCAUCUAGAGGAAGUAAAAGUCGUAACA
rnacentral:rRNA from 1 species